GUGCCAGCAGCCGCGGUAAUACGUAGGUGGCAAGCGUUAUCCGGAAUUAUUGGGCGUAAAGCGCGCGUAGGCGGUUUUUUAAGUYUGAUGUGAAAGCCCACGGCUCAACCGUGGAGGGUCAUUGGAAACUGGAAAACUUGAGUGCAGAAGAGGAAAGUGGAAUUCCAUGUGUAGCGGUGAAAUGCGCAGAGAUAUGGAGGAACACCAGUGGCGAAGGCGACUUUYUGGUCUGUAACUGACGCUGAUGUGCGAAAGCGUGGGGAUCAAACAGGAUUAGAUACCCUGGUAGUCCACGCCGUAAACGAUGAGUGCUAAGUGUUAGGGGGUUUCCGCCCCUUAGUGCUGCAGCUAACGCAUUAAG
rnacentral:rRNA from 1 species